rnacentral:tRNA from 1 species
GCCUCGUUAGCGCAGUAGGCAGGGAGUCAGUCUCAUAAUCAAACGUAGAAAUCUGAAGGUCGUGAGUUCGAUCCUCACACGGGGCA